UUUUUUUUUCUGUUCUUGAGUGUUUGCACAAUUAUGCUACUGUUAUUAUUGUGUUUUUGGUGUUUAGUUAGUGUUUGUGCCAACCAAAGUCUUUGAGAUCAUGUGGGUGAUAGUUGAUUUGAUCUUGUUGAAAAACAGAAACUUUGUGCGCCAUUCUCAGAAUUGUUAAAAAUCACAUAAGCGUGAGAAAAUUCUGAAUUAUUUACACAAGAUUGAUAAACAAAUUGCUUAUGUUUUUCUAAUUUUUCAGAAUUUUUGGAGUUACAUUAGUAUUCGAAGUUUUCAGAUUGCUACAGAUUGUUCUGUUUUUGACAGAUUCUGUUUUCUAUGCGUUGUGUGCUUAUUUCGAUGAAUCUAUGGUUUGUAUUGGAGGGAAUAAGCUAUAGUAAAGUUGGAAUAUAGUAGAUAUAAUGCAAAAAUAAAAUAGAAUGGGUUUGCAACGGUACUUAUAGUAGUGAUUUGCUUUGUUACACUAAUGGAUCUCACAAAGGUUUUACUGAGUUAUGUGUGAUUGAAGUUUUCAAGUUUUGGGUGAGAUCACGAUGGAUGAAGGAAUAAGGAGUAAGAAGAGCCUAAGCUUAGGGAUGCCCAUGGCAUCCCAAGCUAUUAUCUAAAACAGAAGCAAGCAACUAAGCUUGGGGAUGCCCCGAGUGGCAUCCCCUCUUUCUUCUAACGACCAUCGGUAUUUUACUUGGAGCUAUAUUUUUAUUCGUCACAUAUCAUGAGUUUUGCUUGGAGCGUCUUGUAUGAUAAGAGUCUUUGCUUGUUUUACUUUUUAUUUUAAGUCAUCUAUCCUUGCUGAACACACCUAUUUGAGGGAGCCAAAAUUAUGCUAUGAUUUGUUAGAAUUGUUUUCUAUGCUUCACUUAAAUAUUUUUGAGCUAUGGAAUCGCUAUAGUGCUUCACUUAUAUCUUUUUGAGCACGGUUUGCUUUAUUAUUUUUGAAGAAAUGCUCUCAAGCUUCACUUGGAUUUAUUUGAGAGUUAGUAAAAAAAUUGAAGAAAUUCUCUCAUGCUUCACUUAAAUUAUUUAGAGAUAAGAAAAAAAUUUAUGCUGUUGUUCUUCACUUAGAUUUGUUUGAGGUAUCAAAAGUAACAUAUGAAAUUAGUCCCAAAGUGAUAUAUAUUCAAGAGGGAUAUAAUAAAAACUUUCAUGAAGAUCAUUGGACAAAAUAAACUUGAUUCCUUGUAAUAGUUUUGCAGUAUGAUGAUAUAAUAUGUGAGUCAUCUUGAUGAGUAAUUAUGCUUUAGUAAGAAUAUUUGUCACGCCCCGAAACCGGGCCUAGGCGAGACAGCCGCCGCGAGCCUAUAGACCAGAGGCCUAUAGUCAUGCCAGGCGUGAUAAAGCAGGCAUAAACCAGCAGUGGAUCACAUAAGCUCAUAUAUUGACUAUACAAAUUUCUUUACAUUUACAAAAUAGCCAAAAUACAUUAAAUUCUCUACUCGUUUCCCCACCCACUGGUCCAGCCUAUUCUCCAACAACAUCUUCUGGGCAUACUUAAGUUACAUCAUCUGCAUCUAAAAAAACAGAGGAAACAAGGGUGAGUAUGACAAGUCAUACUCAGCAAGCAGAUACUUCAUUAUUCAACAAAAAAAGUAAGAAUAUGAAUACAGUCACAACGGGUUAACUGCAUUUAAAGCAGGCUAAAUAACGUGACAAUUGAUGGAGCCAGUUUCAUCGAAGGAACAACAUAGCUGGAUGUAAUGUAAACAAGAAGGAAUCUAUUGGCAUCACACAUGAUCGCAAGCUUCCCAACCUGGGAGUCAUAUGGGUGAAAUUUCACACUUUUACACUCUUAAGGAGGGUACUCCGACGUCGACAGCCUCGACCAGAACCACACAGGUUCCAGAAGAGCAGAGCUCUUGUACACACUAAGACCCGGACACCUGGACCUACUGAUGUCGAUCGCUCCUACGGAUCCAUCACCGACACGUUCCCGAACAAGGUCCAUCCUUAGUGGAGAACUCAGACAGUCCCAUACCUGAACGGUGACCGGUACAGUACGUUUGCCAUCAUGACACCAAUAUAGAUGAAUGUGUGUCCGAAUCAAUGAUAGGACCACUGAAAUAUCAUUCAAAGACAAUACACUCAUAAUUUUUCAUAAGUUCCUCCAAAAUACUCUGAUUCCAUCAACAAAUGGAUUAUGAGGAAGACACAUCCCUCUCUCAAGGAUCAACAGAGGAUCAGCAAAGAUCAAGGUGCAAUGAUAUUACCAGAUAAUCAAGCAAGAUGACAAUAAGGAGAGAUUAGAGAGUUUAGCAAAGCAGCUACUUGCCUUAGAUAACAAGAUUUCUCCUUGGAGAUAAUAAUCUCCUAGCAAAUAAACCCAUCAAUGUAUAAUCCAAAAGCCGUACAUAUACUAUACUAAUAUUCUCCGGACACACGGCUCAGUUCUUCACUCCAGCAGCACCUAUACGCCCCAUAUAACUCCUCCAUGUCUUGUCUCUCUCUCUCACUCACACGCGCUCUCUUCUUCUCACUCUUUCUCCUAUGCUCACUGCACAUGUCUCUAUUUCUUUCUCCCGGAGGUGUGCUGUGAGGCAACAGCAGGAGCGUCCUAUUUAUAGCGUUGUUCGUCGGCCGGUAGCUAAAAUAUCUCAGACGUGCUGACCCUUGGAACUGGUAAAAGGCAACGUCGGCCGCCGCUUCAGAUAAGCAAAAUGAGUUGCUCUCAUUGUAUCUUCAUCUCACACGUGUCAAACAUACUUAGGUUGACUACCAUCUAACAGUCCACGUGUGAGGCUAGAAAUACCAAGCCACUAGCUAGGCUGCCAACGCAACAUCUAUUUAUACAGAUGUUUUACUUAGCUUGGAAGGAUACAUACACACGUGUGCAUUCUCAUGAUUACAUACAUGCACCUAGUUGACUUGGGGCUCUAGUACUAGGAGAUAUCUACCGAUCUAUCAUUUGUACCUGGUCCAAUUCCAUCUAUUCAAUUGCCACGUUAACUCUCUUAUAAAGCUUAUACUGCCAACUAGCUAGUAGUACCUCCCAUGCAUACCUCAACGUGAGUGCAUGCAUGCAAGUCUAUGUGUACAUACACAUACUCUUACAUAGUAUGUAAUUUUCUAAUAUAAUAUUUAAUGCAUGCAAAAUUUACAGCUCUAUUUUAAUUCUUUGAAACAAGAAUCUAGCAUAACUUAACAGAUAAUAGAAAUUUAUUUACUCAUCUUAAUUUAAAUCAAUAACCCAAAAAUAUGGGUUAUUACAUCCUUCCCACCUUAUAAGAAUUUCGUCCUCGAAAUUCAACACUAACAUCUUCUGGUUUUUUUGGGAGUCAAAUUCCCUCCAAUCAUAUUUGGGACAGUUUAUUUGAUGCAUGGUCAAUAAUUAAUUAGAAAUAAUGCAAACAAUAUUUGCAAUCUUUCUACAAUUCAUGGAUGUAUCUGCUAUAAUAUAAGUUGGCAAGACUAAACAUUUUAUUUGGUAAGGUCAUUAACAAAAAGGAUAGAUGGUGGUAUAGAAAUUGUCCCAUUACUAGAUAAAUAUCACCAGUUGUCUUAAACAAGAAAAAUCUACACAAAUAACAGGUCAAGAGUUAACAAAAUGUCUAUUUAUUUCCCAUGCACCCCCAAAUUUCACCAAAAAUAUGUAUGCUAUAUUUUUAUUUUCCUGGAUAUCUAUCGAAAAUAUUCGUGCGUAACAACACACAAACUACUUGAGACAAGAUAUGAAAAUAAAAUCUUCAUACCUGUCACACAACACAAAUAUACAGUGACAAAAUUCAUUGCCAUGAAUCAUUUUAGUUUAUACGGUUCCUCACGAGUAUAAUAAUGGUGUAAGAACUUCUUUUUUUUCUACCAAUUGAUAAAAGAAUUAUUUCUCUAACAAUAAUUAGCCACAAAUGUAAUCGACGAUCUACUCGUUUAUCCCAGCGCAACCUAAACACCUAGAGUUCUGAUACCACUUUAACUGUCACGCCCCGAGACCGGACCUAGGCGAGACAGGCGCCGCGAGCCUAUAGACCAGAGGCCUAUAGUCACGCAAGGCGUGAUAAAGCAGGCAUAAACCAGCAGUGGAUCACAUAAGCUCAUAUAUUGACUAUACAAAUUUCUUUAUAUUUACAAAAUAGCCAAAAUACAUUAAAUUCUCUACUCGUUUCCCCACCCACUGGUCCAGCCUAUUCUCCGACGACAUCUUCUGGGUAUACUUAAGUUACAUCAUCUGCAUCUAAAAAAACAGAGGAAACAAGGGUGAGUAUGACAAGUCAUACUCAGCAAGCAGAUACUUUAUUAUUCAACAAAAAAAGUAAGAAUAUGAAUACAGUCACAAUAGGUUAACUGCAUUUAAUGCAGGCUAAAUAACGUGACAAUUGAUGGAGCCAGUUUCAUUGAAGGAACAACAUAGCUGGAUGUAAUGGAAACAAGAAGGAAUCUAUUGCCGUCACACAUGAUCGCAAGCUUCUCAAUCCGGGAGUCACAGGGAUGAAAUUUCACACUUUUACACUCUUAGGAGGGGUACUCCGACGUCGACAGCCUCGACCAGAACCACACAGGUUUCAGAAGAGCAGAGCUCUUGUACCCAAGACCCGGACACCUGGACCUACGGAUGUCGAUCGCUCCUACGGAUCCAUCAUCGACACGUUCCCGAACAAGGUCCAUCCUUAGUGGAGAACUCAGACAGUCUCAUACCUGAACUGUGACCGGUACAAUACGUUUGCCAUUGUGACACCAAUAUAUAUGGAUGUGUGUCUGAAUCAACGAUAGGACCACUGAAAUAUCAUUCAAAGACAAUACACUCAUAACUUUUCAUGAGUUCCUCCAAAAUACUCUGAUUCCAUCAACAAAUGGAUUAUGAGGAAGACACAUCCCUCUCUCAAGGAUCAGCAGAGGAUCAGCAAAGAUCAAGGUGCAAUGAUAUUACCAGAUAAUCAAGCAAGACGACAAUAAGGAGAGAUUAGAGAGUUUAGCAAAGCAGCUACUUGCCUUAGAUAACAAGAUUUCUCCUUGGAGAUAAUAUUCUCCUAGCAAAUAAACCCAUCAAUGUAUAAUCCAAAAGCCGUACAUAUACUGUACUAAUAUUCUCCGGACACACGGCUCAGUUCUUCACUCCAGCAGCACCUAUACGCCCCAUAUAACUCCUCCAUGUCUUGUCUCUCUCUCACUCACACGCUCUCUUCUUCUCACUCUUUCUGUUUCUCCUAUGCUCACUGCACAUGUCUCUGUUUGUUUCUCCCGGAGGUGUGCUGUGAGGCAACAGCAGGAGCGUCCUAUUUAUAGCGUUGUUC
rnacentral:lncRNA from 1 species